UUGUGCUUAUCUGCCGUUGGAUCAAAAUCGUAGAGACAUAAAAGUCAAUUAAUUCUCUGAUUGCUUUCAUUGCGAAACCCUUCUCUCGCCGUCGCUCUCGCGCAGAUCAAUCUCCCUUUGUGUCACCGGAGCUACCUUGUUAUCUUGCCAGAAGGUUCGUUAGCUAGAGAAGUGAAAUGGCUGGCCAUAGGAUUGCCCACCCCAUCUUGAAAGGACCGAGCGUUGUCAAGGAGAUUUGUCUUGGAAUUGCAGCUGGUUUGGCUGCUGCUUCCGCUUGGAAGAUGUAUCAAUUGAAUGAGCAGAGGAAAUAUAGAUCAUUUUAUCACAUGCUGGAGAGCGGUGAAGUCGGCGUUGUUCAAGAAGAAGAGUAAUUGCUGGUAAUGCUUCUCUAUCGAAAUGUCAAGGACAGCAUUGCUCUUUAUCCUUUUUAUUUCUUUCACGUGCUCAAAUAACUGAAUCGGGGCGGACUUGAUUUAGAUUCUAAAGAAUAAGUUUUAUGUGCUGAGAUUUGGGAUUCCAGUUUGACUGAGAAAUGUUUAUGAGAUUCAUUGAUUUUGCUUCCUGGUUUCA